rnacentral:tRNA from 1 species
CCGUUGGUAGUUGAGUGGUAGAAUUUUUGCCUUCCAUGCGUGAGACCGGGGUUCAAUUCCCGGCCAAUGCA